ACGGAGGGUGCUAGCGUUGUUCGGAAUCACUGGGCGUAAAGGGCGCGUAGGCGGCUUGGUUAGUCAGAUGUGAAAGCCCAGGGCUCAACUCUGGAAUUGCAUUUGAUACUCCCAAGCUAGAGGUCGAAAGAGGAGAGUGGAAUACCCAGUGUAGAGGUGAAAUUCGUAGAUAUUGGGUGGAACACCAGUGGCGAAAGCGGCUCUCUGGUUCGAUUCUGACGCUGAGGCGCGAAAGCGUGGGGAGCAAACAGG
rnacentral:rRNA from 1 species